UACGGAGGGUGCGAGCGUUGUCCGGAAUCACUGGGCGUAAAGCGCGUGUAGGCGGCCAGGUAAGUCCGUUCUGAAAGCCCGGGGCUCAACCCCGGGAGGCGGAUGGAUACUGCUUGGCUCGAGUCCGGAAGAGGCGAGUGGAAUUCCCGGUGUAGCGGUGAAAUGCGCAGAUAUCGGGAGGAACACCAAUGGCGAAGGCAGCUCGCUGGGACGGUACUGACGCUGAGACGCGAAAGCGUGGGGAGCAAACAGGG
rnacentral:rRNA from 1 species